GUGGCCGUAAUCAAGUGGUCUAAGAUGCUGGCCUGGAAAGCCAGUGCUCUCACGAGCGCGGGGGUUCGAAAGGUUGCAUCGGUUGAUGAAUCCCGAAUAUCCCCCCGGCCACGCCA
rnacentral:tRNA from 1 species